AAUCUUCAAUGCUUCAACGAUUAUUGAGAAAAGUAUGGUUGUCAUUUUACAACUGACAAGUCUAAGUGUGCUGAAUACAGCAUGACAUUGAAAGAAUUGGGCACACAAAAUAUAGGCAGGAAUGAUUGUACUUUCAAGGAAAAGGAGAGGUCCAAUGAUGUUUCCAAAUGUGGAUGCUCUAUUGAUCCAAUGCAGUUGACUAUUGGGGAGAAGUUUAAUGCAACACUUUGGAAUUCUGGGAGCGCCUAAAUUCCAAAGUCCUCUGUAUCAAAUGCAGCAUAAAACCCAAAACCCCCACCGCAAGAGGUGAAACCAACAGAAAAUGGUAAUUUCUUGGUCAAAUGGAAGACAAACUACCCUGAUAUAUGCACCGUUUCUUAAGGUCUUGAUGCCGAAUUUGAGCUACAGAAAGAAAGGAGAACAGAUGAGUAAAGGAGGGUGAUAUGAUAAAUCCCUCAUAUUACAACAUUCCCCCGUUUGCUGUCACCAUCACAAAGACAACAUUCCCCUCUAC